AGCUUUGCACAGUGGCAGUAUCGUAGCCAAUGAGGUGUAUCUGAGGCACAAUUAUUGCUAAUUAAAAAAGAUAACAUUUUUUAAAAUUGAAAGAAGUAAAUAAAUAUCGAUGAUUCCUUUA
rnacentral:snRNA from 1 species